rnacentral:tRNA from 1 species
AGCCUACUAGCUCAAUUGGUAGAGCAUCAAACAAGAGUCGUGGGUUCGAAUCCCACCUAGGUUC